GAUGAACGCUGGCGGCGUGCCUAACACAUGCAAGUCGAGCGAUGAAGUUUCCUUCGGGAAAUGGAUUAGCGGCGGACGGGUGAGUAACACGUGGGUAACCUGCCUCAUAGUGGGGGAUAGCCUUCCGAAAGGGAGAUUAAUACCGCAUAACAUCAUUAGAUGGCAUCAUUUAGUGAUCAAAGGAUUUAUUCGCUAUGAGAUGGACCCGCGUCGCAUUAGCUAGUUGGUAGGGUAAUGGCUUGCCAAGGCGACGAUGCGUAGCCGACCUGAGAGGGUGAUCGGCCACAUUGGGACUGAGACACGGCCCAGACUCCUACGGGAGGCAGCAGUGGGGAAUAUUGCACAAUGGGGGAAACCCUGAUGCAGCAACGCCGCGUGAGUGAUGACGGUCUUCGGAUUGUAAAGCUCUGUCUUUGGGGACGAUAAUGACGGUACCCAAGGAGGAAGCCACGGCUAACUAC
rnacentral:rRNA from 1 species